GUCAUCUUCAACCUCGUUACAUUCUGGACAUCUUCUCUUUUAAAUCACUUGAAUGGUCUUCAAAUAGCAUUACCCACGAGGAUAUGCCUCACUACCACAAGCCACGCCGACGCAUACACCAAAGAAGGAGCAGCAUCACAUCCUCGUCUGUCUCUGCGGUGUGGUGUGGCGGCGGCUGUGCGUGUCCUGCGGAGCACCUAGUAGGAUAACAACAUUAGAAAAGGUAGAUGUGGUUUUGGUCACACCUUCCUUGCAAUUAUCCUAGGGUGCAGAUUCUUUAUGUUAACUUUCAAAGCUUGCUGGAUAACAAUUGGUACAUCCAUGCAACUGGUACAGUUUAUGUAAACAUGUGUAUAUCAAAUAGUAGGAAAAUAAUAUUGGCAGACUGAUUUCUCCUAUGGUGAAAACAAUGCUGCAAUUAGCGAUAAGACAUGGGACUUUAAGACAAAAAAAUAAUGGCCAAUUACAUGAGUGGUGUCAGGUUUCAAAGAGUUUGUAAAUAUCAAGAUUACUAAAGUACAGUGAUUAAAAGGGGAACAUGACUACUGAACAUUAUUUUUUGCCAAAUUAUUAUCUUCGAAGAAGUCUCACAGAAAAAAGAAAUAGAUAAGUUGUAAAGAUCACUGUGCAUUUUCACUAAAUCUUGAACUAUAUUCAGUUCAUAAAUUUAAAAGCAUUCUCUCAAGGGCUUGAACAAAGAAAGAUGAUAAGAGCCGGAGAUUAACUACAUUGGAGGUUUCAACAACAUAUACAUAGCAGCAACUCUUAUAGAUCCUUCCUAACAUAUGCAGUAGGAAUAUUUUGGUAGGGAAUCGAAGAUAAAUAAAAUUUAGCUAGUCCUAACCAUUUAUGUGGGGUUACAUUAUGUAUUCAACGACCCUGAGAAUAGUGCAUGCAAUUUAAGGGUAUGGAGUCAUACUUGUCUGCAGUUAUAAAAGAAGAGUUGCUUGUCUACUGCAUGAGUUCAAGAGCGAAGAACGUGAUUAGUUUCAAGGAGGUCA
rnacentral:lncRNA from 1 species